GUCAGUAACUCAGGGACAAAGCCACUGAGCUUGUAAGAGAAAUCAAGCAAGCUGUACUGACCAGUCUAAGUCUUAACUGACUACGUUUUUUGAGUCACGACACCGGAGAAUGCGAAGCUAGUUUUCCGCUCUGUC
rnacentral:sRNA from 18 species